UUUUCUCCUCCUUUAGACGAGUUGUUUGGAAAAAGAAAAGUAUGGUGUUCUCAACAAAAUAAUAGAAGGAAAUGUGCGUUUAGGAAGACUGGAAGAGAAAGUAAAGCUUCAGGGUCUUUGAAAUGUAAGGAACUUCUGAGCUGUAACGAACCUCUGAUUUUGUCAGUUUAUGAGAACCCAGGAAAAAACAGAACAGAAAAUCCUGGCUACAUUAAUAAAGCAUUAAAAAUGUUUCCUUUAGUACUCCAUAGUUUUAAGCUUUGGCUAAAAUCAGAACAGUAAAUAAAGAGCAACACUCAGAAACAAUGGAAUUUAUAUUAA